GAAUAUAUUAUUUCUUUCCCCUGCAAAGGUCCUUCUAAUUUUCUCUGUCACAGUUAAUGAAUCACCAACCACCUACUUUUCAAAGUUACAAAUUUGGAAUUUUAACUCCUCAGUAAUUGAAUUAUUUUAAUUCUUCCUCCAAAAUGUCUUUUCAAAUUUCUUCUCUGUUGCCAUUGAAUUAGGUUAGAAUUUCAUCUGGCAAGAUUAAUCAGUCAACAGAUAAUUCUGGAACACUUACCAAAUGACAACAAUUAUGUUAGGCUGCCCGUGAUUCCAAUUUUCCCAGCUAACAAUUUCUUCCCCUAUCGAAGGCCAUUCUUCACGCUAACAUCAAAAUUGUCUGUCGAACGAGAGCCUGGUCGGCGAUAUGAAACUGCUCACCCACAAUCUGCUGAGCUCGCAUGUGCAGGGGGUGGGGUCCCGUGGCUUCCCCCUGCGCCUCCAGGCCACUGAGGUCCGUAUCUGCCCUGUGGAGUUCAACCCCAACUUCGUGGCGCGUAUGAUACCUAAGGUGGAGUGGGCGGCGUUCCUGGAAGCGGCCGAUAAUUUGCGCCUGAUCCAGGUGCCUAAACCGGUUGAGGGAUAUGAGGAGAAUGAAGUUUCUGAGGACCAUGCACCAUCUGCUGCUGGAGGUGGAAGUCAUAGAGGGCACCCUGCAGUGCCCGAAGUCUGGACGUAUGUUUCCCAUCAGCCGCGGGAUCCCCAACAUGCUGCUGAGUGAAGAGGAAACUGAGAGUUGAUUGUGCCAGGCGCCAGUUUUUCUUGUUAUGACUAAUGUUUUUGUUGAUGUAUACCCUGUUUCCAAAUUCUGCCGUGUGUAUCCCCAACCCUUGACCCAAUGACACCAAACACACAGUGUUCUUGAGCUCGACAUUAUAUAUUGUUUUCUCAUUAAAGGUUCAAAACCAAAAAAAAA